GCUGUCGUGGCGUAAUGGUAGCGCGUCGCCCUCCUAAUCACCGCACUGUGCGAUGUCUGGUUCAGGCGAAGGCUGUGGGUUCGAGUCCCACCGAUAGUA